UACGGGAGGCAGCAGUGGGGAAUAUUGCACAAUGGGCGCAAGCCUGAUGCAGCCAUGCCGCGUGUAUGAAGAAGGCCUUCGGGUUGUAAAGUACUUUCAGUCGUGAGGAAGGUGUUAAGGUUAAUAACCUUAGCAAUUGACGUUAGCGACAGAAGAAGCACCGGCUAACUCCGUGCCAGCAGCCGCGGUAAUACGGAGGGUGCGAGCGUUAAUCGGAAUUACUGGGCGUAAAGGGCACGCAGGCGGUUAAUUAAGUUGGAUGUGAAAUCCCCGGGCUUAACCUGGGAAUGGCAUUCAAGCUGGUUAGCUAGAGUCUUGUAGAGGGGGUAGAAUUCCAUGUGUAGCGGUGAAAUGCGUAGAGAUGUGGAGGAAUACCGGUGGCGAAGGCGGCCCCUGGACAAGACUGACGCUCAUGUGCGAAAGCGUGGGGAGCAAAC
rnacentral:rRNA from 1 species